UACGUAGGCAGCAAGCGUUGUUCGGAGUUACUGGGCGUAAAGGGUGCGUAGGCGGCUUUUUAAGUUUGGUGUGAAAUCUCCCGGCUCAACUGGGAGGGUGCGCCGAAUACUGAGAGGCUAGAGUGUGGGAGAGGAAAGUGGAAUUCCUGGUGUAGCGGUGAAAUGCGUAGAUAUCAGGAGGAACACCGGUGGUGUAAACGGCUUUCUGGACCAUAACUGACGCUGAGGCACGAAAGCGUGGGUAGCAAACAGGAUUAGAUACCCUGGUAGUCCACGCCCUAAACGAUGCAUAUUUGGUGUGGGCCAUUCAUUUGGUCUGUGCCGGAGCUAACGCGUUAAAUAUGCCGCCUGGGGAGUACAGUCGCAAGGCUGAAACUCAAAG
rnacentral:rRNA from 1 species